AAGAAAAAAAAAAUAAAAAAAACUAAGCACUCUCUCCCUCUGCACCGCACGACGGUUCAUCGCCUUCUUCGAAGACUCCCCGAACCUUGCCCCAGACUCCGAUGACGACGGAGAGAGAGCCAAGAUUGCACUGCCAGGUGUACGGGCGUACAAGGGCCAGCUGGGACGUGGCGCAGCUCGUGUGAGGCAUCGUGCGUGGUGGGCACGCGAGGAGGCGUGCGGCGCUGGGGCUGGGUAGAGGCAGGAGCGGCGCCCUAAGGUUUGCUGAAAUGUUUAUGUUGUGGGCCAUUUGGGCUGAGUCGGGUUUUGGGCCAUAGGUUUAAUUGGGUCUGUAAUCUGGGCUUAAUGGGUUGUGUUUAGUUUGGGUCGUAUUGAGCCCAGUGUAAAUGGACAUUUAAAAUGGACUGUUUUUUUAUUGGUUUA